rnacentral:rRNA from 1 species
UGCCUCAGUAACGGCGAGUGAAGCGGCAACAGCUCAAAUUUGAAAUCUGGCUCCUUCGGGGCCCGAGUUGUAAUUUGUAGAGGAUGCUUCGGCGUUGGCUCCGGUCUAAGUUCCUUGGAACAGGACGUCACAGAGGGUGAGAAUCCCGUAUGUGAUCGGCCGCCUUCGCCAUGUGAAGCUCCUUCGACGAGUCGAGUUGUUUGGGAAUGCAGCUCUAAAUGGGAGGUAAAUUUCUUCUAAAGCUAAAUACUGGCCAGAGACCGAUAGCGCACAAGUAGAGUGAUCGAAAGAUGAAAAGCACUUUGGAAAGAGAGUCAAAAAGUACGUGAAAUUGUUGAAAGGGAAGCGCUUGCAACCAGACCUGCCUGCAGUUGCUCAUCCGGGCUCUCGCCCGGUGCACUCUUCUGCUGUCAGGCCAGCAUCAGUUCGGGCGGUCGGAUAAAGGCCKCGGGAAUGUGGCUCCCUCCGGGGAGUGUUAUAGCCCGUGGUGAAAUGCGGCCAGCCUGGACUGAGGUCCGCGCUUCGGCUAGGAUGCUGGCGUAAUGGUUGUAAGCGGCCCGUCUUGAAACACGGACCAAGGAGUCUAACAUCUAUGCGAGUGUUUGGGUGUCAAACCCGUGCGCGUAAUGAAAGUGAACGGAGGCGGGAACCCCUCGGGGUGCACCGUCGACCGAUCCUGAUGUCUUCGGAUGGAUUUGAGUAAGAGCAUAGCUGUUGGGACCCGAAAGAUGGUGAACUAUGCCUGAAUAGGGUGAAGCCAGAGGAAACUCUGGUGGAGGCUCGCAGCGGUUCUGACGUGCAAAUCGAUCGUCAAAUUUGGGCAUAGGGGCGAAAGACUAAUCG